rnacentral:rRNA from 1 species
AUUGAACGCUAGCGGGAUGCUUUACACAUGCAAGUCGAACGAGUGGCGGACGGGUGAGUAAUAUAUCGGAACGUGCCCAGGAGGGGGGGAUAACUACUCGAAAGAGUGGCUAAAACCGCAUACUCUUGGAGCGGCCGAUAUCGGAUUAGCUCGUUGGUGGGGUAAAGGCUCACCAAGGCAACGACCCGUAGCUGGUUUGAGAGGACGACCAGCCACACUGGGACGGAGACACGGCCCAGAUUCCUACGGUAGUCAGCAGUGGGGAAGUUUGGACAAUGGGGGAAACCCUGAUCCAGCCAUCCCGCGUGAAGGAGAAGUCCUUCGGGUUGUAAAGUACUUUUGGCAGGGAAGCGGUAUCUGCAGAAUAAGCACCGGCUAACUACGUGCCAGCCGCCGCGGUAAUUC